AACGCACAUUGCGCCCUUUGGUAUUCCGAAGGGCACACCUGUUCGAGCGUCAUUACACCAAUCAAGUUUUACUUGGUAUUGGGCACUGUCCUUAUCUUUUUAGGGACAAGCCUUAAAGACAUUGGCGGCAUAGUCCGGCUUCGAGCGUAGCAAAAACAUCGCUUUUGGAGCUAACCGGAUUAUUGUUCCUUGUCCAUAAAAUAGAGUAGAAAUACUCGACUUUUUCUAAAGGUUGACCUCGGAUCAGGUGGGGAUACCCGCUGAACUUAA
rnacentral:misc_RNA from 1 species